AGGUGUCCCCAGGUGUCCCCAGGUACCCCAGGUGUGUCCCCAGAUGUCCCCAGGUGUCCCCAGGUGUCCCCAGGUGUCCCCAGGUGUGCCCAGUUGUGCCCAGGUGUGUUCAGGUGUCCCCAGGUGUGCCCAGGUGUCCCCAGGUGUGCCCAGGUGUCCCCAGGUGUGUUUUUAUCCCCCCCAGGUGUCCCCAGGUGUGCCCCCAGGUGUCCCCAGGUGUCCCCAGGUGUGCCCAGGUGUCCCCAGGUGUGCCCAGGUGUGUCCAGGUGUCCCCAGGUGAUAUUCAGGUGUGCCCAGGUGUGCCCAGGUGUCCCCAGGUGUGCCCAGGUGUCCCCAGGUGUGUUCCAGGUGUCCCCAGGUGUGUCCAGGUGUGUCCCAGGUGUGUCCAGGUGUGUUUUUAUCCCCCCAGGUGUCCCCAGGUGAGGUUCAGGUGUGCCCAGGUGUGUUUUUAUCCCCCCCAGGUGUGCCCAGGUGUCCCCAGGUGCCCCCAGGGUGAUGUUCAGGUGUGUCCAGGUGUGCCCAGGUAUGUCCCCAG
rnacentral:lncRNA from 1 species